rnacentral:rRNA from 1 species
GACGAACGCUGGCGGCGUGCUUAACACAUGCAAGUCGAACGAAGUGGCGAACGGGUGAGUAAUACGUGGGUAACCUGCCCUCCUUUUUGGGAUAAGCCUUGGAAACGGGGUCUAAUACCGAAUAAAGGGGGAUGGGCUCGCGGCCUAUCAGAUUGUUGGUGGGGUGAUGGCCUACCAAGGCGGUGACGGGUAGCCGGCCUGAGAGGGUGACCGGCGACAUAGGGACGGAGAUACGGCCCAGGCUACGAAGGGAGGCAGCAGUGGGGGAUAUGGCAAAAUGGGCGAAAGCCUGAUGCAGCAACGCCGCGUGGGGGAUGAGGGCUUUCGGGUUGUAAACCUCUGUCGCUAUCGAACGGGUAGGUGUAGAAGAAGCGCCGGCUAACUACGUGCCAGCAGCCGCGGUAAUUC